rnacentral:lncRNA from 1 species
GCAGGCUAAGGAACAAGUCACCACCCUCGAUACCGUAAAACCCUUUUGCAAUAACAGAGACAGGAUGGAUCCUCCUUUGGUCUCGAAGGAUCGACCGAGCUAAACUUGCGACAGAGUACCCGAUCGCCCAUGAUGUGUAGCCCUUAAGGUUUAUGACUUCGUAAGCCCCACCUAUGACCUCUUUGUGAAUUUUCUCUAAUGUUUCUUUCUCGUAGGCGAUUUGUUGAUUCUUUAGAAAGCUUAGGAUCGGCACCCCACCCACACUUAUGCUCGACCAUAGUGCCACCGAGCUGUCGCCAUGCUCUCCAACUAUGAAUGCCUUCAAAAACAUACAUAUAUAUAAUCCACUCUUUUUUAGCUUCAUGAUCCAAAUAUCAAUGCUAGUUUAAUUUCUAGGUAUUCAUCUAUGGUUUGAUACCUAAACGAUGGUCUGAAUUCUAAUUGGGUGAGCUUUGAAUUUAUUUUUUCACUUUGGUAACUAAAUUUUCAAAAUAUUGUUUUGGUUUUUAUUAUUUUCUUUUCUAACUUUACCUUAAAAAUAAUAAUUACAUUUCUAAUUUAUAAUUUUAAAAGUUAGCAUUUAGCUCUUUCUAACAAAAAUUAAAAGAAUUAUUUUUAAGCGUUUUUAUGUUUUUUUUUUUUUUACCUACAUCCCACAAUUGUAUGAAAUCUAACCUUAUGUUUAUGUCAUAAUGUAUUUUUAGCCUUCUAAAUGACAUCGUGGAUAGGGAUGAACUUCCAAAUCGAGUGGUGCCUCGUGGUAGAGAAGUCAUAACCCAAUGUGACAUCAUUUUUUAAAACUUUUUCCCAUUCAACAUUGCCUUGCGGUAGACAAGUCCACUAUAAUCUCUAAUACUUUUUUCAAAUCCCUAUCCCAACUUCACAUGUUUGUGGUUGCGGGCCAAACAAUUGUAAAUAUCCUAAUUAUAUUUAAAAUAAUAGUGUAUAUAGUAAUAUUUUUAUAAAAAAAUGCAAAUACAACAAAAUAGGUUAGAUUUUAUCAAUAAUAGAUCAAUAUUUACAUGCAAUAAUAAACCAUAAGAGUCUAUCAUCUAGAAUUUGCUAUAUUUGUAAUUUUUAAAACGUUGGUAUAAAUUGUUAUCCAUUAUCACUCCAAUUCGAUAACCGAUCAUCAGACCAAAAAGCUCUCAUAUUUAUUAGGGUUUUAAUUAUAAACAUAAUAUAAGUAAGAUGUCCAAAUUUAUAAAUGAUAGUUAAGUUUUUGAGUUCAAAUAUAAAUUACUCGUACACGUAAUUUGAUUUAUAUGAAUGUCUAUUUAAACUUGAUUUAUGAACUUACAAAAAAAGUCUAAUAACUUGUUUGUGGGAAAUGAUAAAUUACAAAUCACUCGAAAUAUUUACAAAUAUGAAAUUUUGUGGUUCAUUUGGUUUACUUUUUCCCAAAAAAAUGAUCAACUCAUUUGGUUCCAAUCAACCAAAAACAAUUCAAACGAAAGGGAACUUUCUUCAGCAAAAGAACGCCAAAUUAACCAAAAAAACAAUGAUCAAUCGGAAAACGGACCUGAACAUCCUGAGCGUUAACGUCGAGAUGAUCCGCAAUAAGAAACCGAAACCUAGAUGAAUCCAGAUUCGUUCCCGAUCCAAUCACACGAUUCGACGAAAAACCAGAGAGUUUCCAAGCAACAUAAGUCAAAACAUCCACCGGAUUCGAAACAAUCAAAAGAAUCGUCUCAGGAGAGAACUGAACCAACAGCGGAACGAUCUUCUGAAACAGAGUAACAUUCCUCUGCAAUAGGUUCAACCUAGAUUCACCGGCGAUCUGCCGAGCACCAGCAGUAACAAUACACAGAUCAGAUCUAGCAGUAAUGGAGUAAUCAGUGGAGGCGCUGAUUUUUGUACGAGGGAGAAAAGCAGCAGCGUGUUGGAGAUCUAGCAUUUCGCCACGGAGUUUGUCGGGCUUGGCGUCGACGAGGACGAGUUCAUCGACCAGAUCUUGAGUGAGGAUGGUUUGAGCGAUGGCCAUACCGACGUUUCCAGUGCCGAUGACAGAGAUUUUGGUGUUGCAAUUUGAGGUGGAUAGAGGAGAGGCGUCGCGGAUUGGUUUGAAGAAGGCUUGAGAAAGGUCGAGGCCGCCGGGACCUAAGGAAGAGGUUGAGGGACUUUUCUGCAUUGCAAAAAAGGGUUUUGGAGAUUGUGAUCGGCGGUGGAAUUUUUUGUUGCAGAUAACUUGGCGGAUUUUGUAAGGGGAACGCGUUGGAAAGGAUGAAGAAGAAGAAAAUUUUUCUUCAUUUUUUUGCAUGGAUUUGAUGGAUUGGUGUAAUACAAAGUUGAUAUCCUCAAUAUAAGUUUUAUACAUUUUAAUACGAUCUUACUAUCACCACCAACAUAUUAUAUCUUUCACUUGAAGUGCUUUAAUAUUUAUAUCUUUUCACUUUUAAAAUUUUCAAUCCUACAUCUUGAAUUAAAACAAUAAAUUUAGUAUAAUAAUAAUAAAACCUUAGUCUAAUUCUCGGAAAAGUAGUAAAUUCCUUUCCUGUAGUAAAUUCCUUUCCUAGUCUUUCUUCAAACAACUAGCACUACUCCAUGUACACCAAUCUGUCAACGUCGCUCCACCACUCCACCGCUUACCUCUAAUUAAAAUGAUUUAGAUCGUUAAAUUAACACAUACAUUUGAACAUUAUAUCUUCUUCAUUUAACACAUAAAUUUAAGCAUUUCAAAUUUUUAUUUCAAGAAAUUUGAAUCAAUAUUGUUGUUGUUGGUCUAUUUUGAGUUAGUAAGUGAACAUUACAUAGUCUAUCUACUUAAACAAAAUUAAUUAACUAAUCUCUUUAUCAAUCAACUUCCAUUCAUUAAAUUUAUUAAAUUGUUACUUAUUAAAACUUUUAAAACAUGAUUAUUUCCACCCAAUCUAAUCAAUUUUAUUCAUUUUUCCUUGGACUUUAUAAUUUCCUACUUUUAUGACUUUUGGUGAAAGAAUAAGAAUAAGAAUAUUGAAAUAUUAAUACAUUUGUGAGAUGGAGGUUACAUAUGCAAAAUAGAUUCCAUAUAAUUGCACAAGCUUCCCUAAGUUUAUUUAUUGUAAUUUAUGUCAAUUUUCCUCUAGGGAAUAAUUCGAUUAGACAUCACUAAAUUGAUUAAAGUUAAUAUUAUAAUGUACUAAUUUAACUGUUACAAAAGUUUAGUUUAAUCCAUAUCUAUAAAAUUCCAUCAUUCCAUUUUGUAAUAAACAAAUAAUUAUCCUAAUUAAUUUAUAUCCUAUAAUCAUUUUUGUGUUGAUAAAAGUGCCAGAUAUGUCGAAUGAAAUAUCUAUAAAACGUCAUGUUAGUAGUUUCUUCUUUUAGCAAAUUGUAAAUAUUAAAAUAUUAGAAAAAUAUCCAAUUGAAAAAUAAAUAUAUAUGCUAUUAAAUAAAGUUCUUAUCACUAAUAUUAGGUUCCCUAUACCGUAUAAUAAAAAGUUGAAACAUUCAUACAUACCCACGAUGUUAGACAACAAAAAAAAUAAUUCUGUUGUACAAGAAAUAUAUAUGUAUAUGUAUAUAUGUAACUAAAUUAGGGUAGAUUCAUGACUUAAGUUGAUAACAAAUUAUAUUUUAAAAUAAUAUAUUUUACCUAAAAUUAUGCAUUUUAUAUAGUAACAACUUAGAUAUAUUUUCUACAAUUAUGCAUAUACAAAUUUUUCGAUUGACCAUAUUAUUAUAUAUAAUAAUACAUAUUUAGUUUAUACUAUUUAAUUCACAUAAUUAAAUCAUUAAUAAUGUUUUUUCUUCCUAAUAGGUUUUGUUGGAAGAUUUCAAAUUUUGAAUUUAAAAUAAUAUCUUCUACCUAAAUAUAUGUAUUUUAUAUAAUAACAAAUUCAUAUAAUUAGUGUAUCUUUCCUAUUUUUAAGCAUUAUUUUAUGAAUUAAAUGUUAGUUUAACGACAAUAAUAAAAUCAGUUUAUGUAAUUAUCAUUUUAAAUGAGGGAUGUUCUCCAUAGAUUUUAUUGAAUAUCAUUUAAAAUUGAUUUUAAACUACAAAAACACUAAAAAAGAUUAUUCAAAUGACAAUAUUCUAAUAUGAUUUUUAUUUGAAAUUAUUUAAUUGUACCAAUUUUCCUUACUUUUAUUUUGGGUACAAAAGUAUUCGAAUAAACUUAUUUUCAGUUUUGGAAGUUUUUCACGCAGUUGUCCUCUUUAUUGGUUGCAUUUAUGGUACUCUUGUUUUGGAAUUCUUACGGUGCAUUCAAGAUAGAAUUUUUUCAUCCUUACAUAUUUGUAUGUGUCGCGUUACUCUCUAUUGUGAUGGAUACAACAGUUCGAACCUUAUUUGGAUUGGUGAAGAGAAGGACAUGUAUUGACUUAUGUUGAUUAUGUCGAAAUUUCCUGACAAUGAUUUUGUUUUGGUUCUUGAUUUCGCAAGGAAGAGAAUGAUUACCUUAAGAAGUUUAAAUUCUAAAGGUAUGAGAUGGAGCUUCACAAUAAUUGUAUGUUUUUUUUAUUUUAGUUAUUUAGAGGGAAUUUUGUUUAUACCAUUUGUUUUCCAAUUACAGUGUAACGUGAGUUUAUGUUAAUGUGCUAAACAUAUAUAUCACACACAAAAAUUGAUGAGACUUCAUAAGGAAGACAUACAAAUUAUUAUAUUUUCAUUAAAAUUUGUGAGUUUAGGGAGAUUUGUUCAUCAAUGUAGCGUCUCAUGAUCAUAAUAUCAUUCUUUGUAUUAUCAAAGUUAAUACAUUUAUCAUAUGUAAUUAAGUGUAACAUCCUAAGGGGUAAUAAAAAAAGAAAACAUUAUCAAUCUCACCCCCUAUUCAUAGUUAGCUCUUUCCUAUUCAACCAACCCCAUAACAAACACAAACAUCACCAUAACAGCCCAUCAAAAACAUCCAUAGGAUAGAAAAUGUAGUUAAAUGUUUAAAUCCCCAACUCGGUUUGCACCUGCAAGAUGGUGUUUGCCGAGUCCCUCAACCGUUUCGAUUCCUCUGCCGUUAGAUGCACAUUGGUGAUCCCCAAUACUCCACCCCUCCCAAGUUGUGCAGGCAGGCUAAGGAACAAGUCGCCACCAUCAAUACCGUAAAACCCUUUUGCGAGAACAGAGACAGGAUGGAUCCUCCUUUGGUCUCGAAGGAUCGACCGAGCUAAACUCGCAACGGAGUACCCGAUCGCCCAUGAUGUGUAGCCCUUAAGGUUUAUGACUUCGUAAGCCCCACCUAUAACCUCUUUGUGAAUUUUCUCUAAUGUUUCUUUUUCGUAGCCGAUUUGUUGAUUCUUUAGAAAGCUUAGGAUCGGCACCCCGCCCACACUUAUGCUUGACCAUAGCGCCACCGAGCUGUCGC